rnacentral:lncRNA from 1 species
AGACUUCUAUUGAACAAACUUCACAAAUAGUAUUUUUUAUAUAAUAUUCUAUUCAAUUCAAGAGGGUAUCUUUUUUUUUUGGUCGAAAAUGAAAAUUUGUAUUCAACCUUUGUUAAUGUACAUCAAUUGUUCUUAGUGACUAUAGAACAAUUCUCAUAUUUGAACCCCUAGUUACGCCACAUUCUACUAGUGUACAAUCAUAUCCUCACACACAACGGGUAUUGGGAUUAAACUCAAGGAUUACAUCGGGGGUAACAAUUGAGGCUUCGCAAGGUUGGUUGCCAUUUUGAUUUCUUCAGUCCAGUGAUAUGCACUUGAAUAGCUAUUUGCCUUGCUCUACUAGUAGCUUCUUGUCUCGACUGUCGAAAUCGUCUAUCAUUCCUUUCCAUUCAUAUGUUGUACACAAUCGCAGCGAACACUAUUGCUAAUAUGGAUUUUCUUGGGUGCGUGUUGUUUACUCUGGGUGAAAGCCAUUGUACCUCAAGCUCCCAGCUUUGUUUCAGUCUAUUGAAGUUCAACCAUUUCAGUAGUCCCUGCCACAGUCUCUGGGAGUAAGCACAUUCAAAGAACAAGUGUUCAUGUGUCUCUGUUGCAUCUGUCUCACAUAGCGAGCAUGCCUGUUCAAUGUGGGUGCCCCAUUUCACUACUCUGCUAGCUGUGCCCAGUCGUUUAUGCAACGCCAUCCAUAGUAUAAAUUUAUGUUUUGGUAGCAAGCCUAGAAUCAGUAGUAGUUUCUUCCAUUGAACUUUAUGGUAUUGUGGAGUAAUAUGGAUAUAUG